AUGUCCAACCCCGAAUCGAGCCCCCAAGCCGCCGCGUCGUCCACCUCGCCUCCCUCCCACGCCGGCCACAUCCACACCCCGCUCUGCCGCUCCUGCGGCGCGCCCGCCGCGGCGCCCGCCCCAGCCCCCUGGACGGGGGAUUCCCCGCCGCCCGCCUACCGCCCCAUCCGCAUGCCGGCCAUCAACGCGCCCACCAACACCGCUGCCAUCGUCCUCUCCCCGGUCCCGCAGCCCCUGCCGGUGCCGCCCGCCUUGCCGCCCUUCGCCUUCCAGGCCCCCGCCAAGCGAAUCGCGUCCCCCGACGACAUCGCGCGCUUCAAGGACUCCACCCACGGCCGCCACUUCCUCGGCUUCGUCGCCUCGCUCUCCGCCUCCGUGCACGGCCGCAAGCUCUCCGACCCGCUCCCCUCCCCUCCCUCCCCCGCCGUCUCGGCCCUCCUCGACCUCAUCUCCGCGCUGUCCGCCUUCGUCGCCUCCACCCCGCCGUUCCCGCACAGCUCCCGCUACGGCAACCCCGCCUUCCGCCUCUGGCACGAGAAGCUCGGCAGCUCCGUCAACGAGCUGAUCGCUCCGAUCACAGCCGCCGCCGCGUCCCCCUCGGACCUCGUCGGCGCCGAGGUCGAGCUCGCGCCGUACCUCCUCGACUCCUUCGGCAACGGCACCCGCAUCGACUACGGCACGGGGCACGAGACCAACUUCGCCGCCUUCCUGUACUGCCUGGCGCGACUCGGGCUCAUCACCGACCCCGAUUACCCCGCCGUCGUGCUACGCGUGUUUGCUUCCUACCUCGACCUCAUGCGCACGCUGCAGGACACGUACCUGCUGGAGCCUGCGGGCUCGCAUGGCGUCUGGGGACUAGAUGAUUACCAUUUCCUGCCCUUUGUGUUUGGGGCUGCACAACUGAUUGAUCAUAAGUACAUGAAACCCAAGUCGAUCCACAACCCGGAUAUCUUGGAGAACUUCUCAAAGGAGUACAUGUACCUGGCGUGCGUCAUGUAUGUGAAGAAAGUGAAGAAGGGGCCCUUUGCAGAGCAUUCGCCGAUGUUGGAUGAUAUCAGCGCCGUGCCGAACUGGAAGAAGGUGAACAGUGGGUUGCUCAAGAUGUACAAGGCUGAAGUGCUUGAGAAGGUGCCCAUCAUGCAGCAUUUCCUCUUCGGCUCACUUAUCAAAUGGGAGGAUUGA
rnacentral:rRNA from 1 species